rnacentral:rRNA from 1 species
AGCGAACGCUGGCGGCAGGCCUAACACAUGCAAGUCGAACGAACUCUUCGGAGUUAGUGGCGGACGGGUGAGUAACACGUGGGAACGUGCCUUUUGGUUCGGAAUAACUCAGGGAAACUUGUGCUAAUACCGAAUGUGCCCUUCGGGGGAAAGAUUUAUCGCCAUUUGAGCGGCCCGCGUCUGAUUAGCUAGUUGGUGAGGUAACGGCUCACCAAGGCGACGAUCAGUAGCUGGUCUGAGAGGAUGACCAGCCACACUGGGACUGAGACACGGCCCAGACUUCUACGGGAUGCAGCAGUGGGGAAUAUUGCGCAAUGGGCGGAAGCCUGACGCAGCCAUGCCGCGUGAAUGAUGAAGGUCUUAGGAUUGUAAAAUUCUUUCACCGGGGACGAUAAUGACGGUACCCGGAGAAGAAGCCCCGGCUAACUUCGUG